CUUCACUAUCGCCAACAUUUCAAGAUAAACUAGAAUGUUGAAAUGUUCCUUAGCAAAACUAAAACUCCUGUUUACUGGAAUGUGAUAUGGAUGAGAAACGGGAUGUCAUGUUACUCAAUGGAUACCAUAUAAAUGGAGAGUUGAACUCUUAUUAAAGCAUUCCUGUAAUGCUUCUGUAGAGCACCAGAAAUUACAGAUCAGACACCUGAACAAUGCUGCUACUUCCAACACUGAUCACUUUUGCAAAAAAGAUGCAGCUAAUCAUACGGAUUACAGGGAUUAAAAGGGUCACAAGGUCCCCCAGGAAAGAUGGGCCCUGCUGGACAAGUAGGAGGAAAGGGCUCACUAGGAGAAAAAGGCACAAAAGGAGAUAUUGGAGACAGAGGCCUGCCAGGAACUACAGGUUCACGGGGCCAGCCAGGAAUCGCAGGCUCCCCUGGGCCAAAAGGGGACAAAGGUUCAGUAGGUGAAAAGGGAGCAAAAGGAGACAAAGGAGACAGAGGUAAGUGAUGUAGACAGGCUUGAAUUCUGCAUUGCAAAGAUUGCUUCCAAUUUAACAAUUUCUCUUCUGCUGCAAAUUUCCACAGCUCCAUUGCCUCCAUUUACACUGGCUGAGAACUUGUCCUGUAGACUUAGGAGAUAGUGACGGACACAAGUUGAAAGGGUUCAAGAUUCCAUUUAGUUAAAUACAAAGUCAAAGGCUGUACACUUAUCUGAAGCAUAACCAAAUCUCCUUUGCCCUAGAAAUCAGGACUCAGCUCUUGGAAAUACAGCCUCUCUAAUGAAAUUCAUGGAAUUCUUAGUUCUAACCGAUUGAAAACUACAGAGGUUACAAGGAAGCUCAGGUUUACAGGGCCCCAAAGGGCAAAUUGGUUCUCCUGGGCUAAAAGGUGAUAAAGGUUCAGUAGGUGAAAAAGGAACAAAGGGAGACAGUGGACUAUCAGGUACGUAAAGCAAUGGGGUUUGUUUGUUUGCUGGGGAAGGGACUUAAGCGUUUUCUCUGUUGGUGUGUGCUAAUGAAUUUUGGACCACUUUCUGCCCCACAUCCACAAGUGGGCUCAAGUAAGCCCCAUCUGGGGAAAAAUGUAUGAGGAGAGAUUCUCUCUCUACCAAUGUAUAUUCAAGUUACAUGUGCAUAAUUUACAUUAUGUAAAACUGGUUCACCUGCAAAAUGCAAGACAUUACCUAAAUAUAAAAUCAAAAUAUCACUAUGAUAAGAUUAAUCAGUAGUAUUUUAUAAAUUAUAUAGCAGCCAUCUGUUUCAUGGAUAGAAUCCUGGUCCCACUGAAGUCAAUGACAAAACUCCUGUUUACAUAAUGGAGCGAAGAUUUCAAAUAAUAAAAAUCACAGAGUAGUAAACCCAUUCUAGUAAUCACAAAAUCUUCCUAUGUAUGAUGAAUUUAUAUUUUCAAAAAUAAUUUUAAAAAUUGUACUGCUUCUUUUCUGGCUCUUUUCUGAUCGAGAAAAAAUGCCUUGAAAUUUUCAUGAGGACUCCAGUAUAUUUGUGGAUAUAGCUCACUGUAGAUUAUUUUAAUCCCUAGAUUGAAGGGGGAGGGGCAAGGAGCUUCUUACUUUAGAGCUCAACUAUCCAUUAUUUUCUACCCCUCUAACACAGACAUUAACCCAAGGGUGGAUGUUGGAUAUCACUUUUGGUAGCUUGCUAAAAUGAGAUCAUGCUGAGAGUAAUGAGAGAAUCAAAAUAUUGCACUAUCCCAGGAUCAGAUUGUCUGUUAGAGUGUUUGUAUGUAUAUUAUCUAGAUAAAUAGAUUGAGAUCUAGAUAAUACCUCAUAUGUAGACAAAGUAAAACCAGCAUGUCCAAGCUCAUAACAAUUUGUGAACCGUCCCUAAGGUACCAUUUAGAAGUGCCCCCCACCCCGCCCAUCUACAACUUCAAAACACCCUCCUCCAACUCCACCUAAAUGUUUACCGAAUGUAAAAUGACACAUCUCAGUGAUAUAGUAGCAGUGGGGGAAAGCAUUUUUAGCAUUAUGUAGCCCAGGACGACCAGUCUGGGCACUCAGGCCAUGUCUACACUUACAGGUAGAUCGGUACUGCUGCAAGAAUCGAUGCAGUGAGUGUCAAUUCAGCGGGUCUGGUGAAGACAUGCUAAAUCAAUGGGAGAGUACUCUCCCAUCGAUUUGUGUACUCCACCUCCCUGAGAAGCGUGAAGGAAGUCGACGGGAGAUGCUCUCCCAUCGACACAAUGCUGUGUAGCCACCGCGGUAAGUGAAUCUAACUAUGUCGACUUCAGUUACGUUAUUCACCGAAUAACGUAUUUAUUAGACCAGAUCUCAGAAAGUGAUAUAUCUACAGACUUUGGUCCCCAAGCACUACAUGUGUGAAUAGUGUAACGAUGUUUAGUCAAGGCCUGUCCUUAAAGAGAAGGAGUAAGUAGAAAUGAUGCAAUCUUUCCUUCAGGUAAUGGAUAGACACAUCCACACAUCCUGUGUAAUUCUUAUCCCAUAAAAAAGCUAGGCAAUCCAGUUUUAGAUCUAUAACCUGGACAUAUAGCGAUUUAGAUCAUAACCAAGACAUCUGUAGAGUAGAAAUUACAGGUCUGCUGUUAUUUGUCUGUAUUACUUAUUUCUUUUAACAUUAAGAUUAAUGCAACUUUCUUCUUAAAAGACAAAUAAGUACUUUGGAAGGGCAGCUGAGAGCUCUGCAAAGCAGCUUCUCCAAGUACAAACAAGGUAAGAUGAUGCUGUAGUAGAAUGCUGCCUUUCAACAUAAUUUUACCUCUGAUCUCUUUUAAGCCUUCUGAUUUGUAGUCUGAUGCAUUAACCAGUGGUUUUGUUCAUUUUCAUUAUUAAUGAAUUAUACAAUGCCUCAGACUUAUGUGAUGCUUUAUAAAAUAUAGAGCAGAUCAC